CGGAGGGUGCAAGCGUUGUCCGGAUUUAUUGGGUUUAAAGGGUAGCGUAGGCGGCCCUCUAAGUCAGUGGUGAAAUAACUGCAGCUUAACUGUAGCAUUGCCAUUGAUACUGGAGGGCUUGAGUACAGAUGAGGUAGGCGGAAUUUAUGGUGUAGCGGUGAAAUGCAUAGAUACCAUAAAGACACCUAUUGCGAAGGCAGCUUACUAAGCUGUAACUGACGCUGAGGCACGAAAGCGUGGGGAGCGAACAGGAUU
rnacentral:rRNA from 1 species